GACGAACGCUGGCGGCGUGCUUAACACAUGCAAGUCGAACGGAGUGGCGAACGGGUGAGUAACACGUGGGUGAUCUGCCUUGCACUUCGGGAUAAGCUUGGGAAACUGGGUCUAAUACCGGAUAGUGCAAGAUGAGCUCGCGGGCUAUCAGCUUGUUGGUGGGGUAAUGGCCUACCAAGGCGUCGACGGGUAGCCGGCCUGAGAGGGGGUACGGACACAGUGGGAGUGAGAGACGGACCAGACUCCUACGGGAGGCAGCAGGGGGGAAGAGUGAGCAAUGGGCGGAAGCCUGAGGCAGAGACGCCGCGUGGGGGAUGAAGGCCUUCGGGUUGUAAACUCCUUUCGACAGGGACGCGGUACCUGUAUAAGAAGCACCGGCUAACUACGUGCCAGCAGCCGCGGUAAUAC
rnacentral:rRNA from 1 species